rnacentral:rRNA from 1 species
AACGAACGCUGGCGGCAUGCCUAACACAUGCAAGUCGAACGAGACCUUCGGGUCUAGUGGCGCACGGGUGCGUAACGCGUGGGAACCUGCCCUUAGGUUCGGAACAACUCCCCGAAAGGGGUGCUAAUACCGGAUAAUGUCUUCGGACCAAAGAUUUAUCGCCUUUGGAUGGGCCCGCGUUGGAUUAGCUAGUUGGUAGGGUAAAAGCCUACCAAGGCGACGAUCCAUAGCUGGUCUGAGAGGAUGAUCAGCCACACUGGGACUGAGACACGGCCCAGACUCCUACGGGAGGCAGCAGUGGGGAAUAUUGGACAAUGGGCGAAAGCCUGAUCCAGCAAUGCCGCGUGAGUGAUGAAGGCCUUAGGGUUGUAAAGCUCUUUUACCCGGGAUGAUAAUGGCAGUACCGGGAGAAUAAGCUCCGGCUAACUCCGUG